rnacentral:rRNA from 1 species
UACGAAGGGGGCUAGCGUUGUUCGGAAUUACUGGGCGUAAAGCGCACGUAGGCGGAUUGUUAAGUUAGGGGUGAAAUCCCAGGGCUCAACCCUGGAACUGCCUUAAUACUGGCAAUCUCGAGUCCGAGAGAGGUGAGUGGAAUUCCGAGUGUAGAGGUGAAAUUCGUAGAUAUUCGGAAGAACACCAGUGGCGAAGGCGAACUUACUGGACACAUAUUGACGCUGAGGUGCGAAAGCGUGGGGAGCAAACAGG